rnacentral:rRNA from 1 species
NGAGUGAUUUGUCUUGCUUAAUUGCGAUAAUAAACAAGCCCUUAACCUGCUAAAUAGCCAGGCUAGCUUUAGCUAGUUACUAGCUUCUUAGAGGGACUAUUAGCUUAAGCUAAUAGAAGUUUAAGGCAA